rnacentral:lncRNA from 1 species
GUUUCUGUUGCAGCACUAAGUUCAGCUGUAUGUUACAAAUGGUUGUGUCUUCUUGUCUCCUCACAGUAAUAUAUUUGUAUAAUGCUAGUAAUACAAGGUUGGUUAGGAACUGCUGUCAUCCCUUCGUGGUACCAGACAAAUUUUCUUUAUAAAAUAAUAUAAAAAAGAAUAUACCUUUUCACUGAUUUGAUUUCAAGGGACUCUGAUCCUUAUGGCUUGACUUUCUCCAUAGUAUGCAUAAUUGAGAUUCCCUCUCCAGAAGCCCUAGACUCAGACAUUAAGCCCUGUUUUAGAGGAAGGAAUCCCUCAGAGGUCACUUACAGUCUUUCUCUCUCAAGUCAAAUGCAAAGGCUCAUUACCAUCUCACAAACAACUUACUAAACGACACAGUUCCCCAAACUUUUCUACAGUGGAGGAUUUAAGGCACACACUUUCUUAGCACAAAUGAAGACACUGCUGUCUUUAAAAAGGUCAUGACUAUAAUGAAAAUACAAAAGUGGAUGCUAUUAAAUUCAUCAAAUUAAUGUUAUAAGAAUAUAGCGCUUAAUACAGAAACAGUGACAGUCAAGUACUUUUCUAUACAGAGGGAUCAGAACUAUGUAACACAGAUCAUGUUGUCUAAAAACAUGCACAUCACCCUUUAUUACUAACACCCAACAAAACUUAAAAGCUGACUAUUUUGGACUAAAUGAGGAGUAAUAUUUAUACUAACUAUAAUAAAAUCUCUACUUUGGAUAAGAAGGGGGUUAAGUAAAAAUUAGGUAUUUCUAAAUAAAUGCAGCUUAACUAAUUAUAUAUACAUUUUAAAACUGUUAUUUUCCCUACAAAGGGUCUUUUUAGAACAACUUUUUAAGGUAUAAUACUGCUAAAAUGCUUUAAAAGAUCAAACUUUAUUUGCACUAAUUAUUUGCUUAGUAUUUUUUUCUUUUUUAGAUAGUGACACAGUAAACAUUAACCAGGGCUGUACCACAAAUUCUAGGUUAAUGACGUAUUACCUUCUCCCUUUGGAAGGAGCAAGGUUGGCUGUAAGACAGUCCUUUUUUUUUUUUUUUUUUUAAAGAUUUUAUUUAUUCAUGAGAGAGAGAGAGAGAGAAAGAGAGAGAGAUGGAGGCAGAGACAUAGGCAGAGGGAGAAGCAGGCUCCACACAGAAAACCUGAUGUAGGACUUGAUCCCAGGACUCCAGGAUCACACCCUGAGCCGAAGGCAGACGCUUAACCGCUGAGCCACCCAGGCAUCCCAAGACAGUCCUAUUUACUUGCUGGCCCAUCAUUAAGGAAGGAUGUGGACAAUCUCUCAAUAGCAGAUACCAAAAAAAU